UACAGAGGUCUCAAGCGUUGUUCGGAUUCAUUGGGCGUAAAGGGUGCGUAGGCGGUGGGGCAAGUCGGAUGUGAAAUCUCAGGGCUCAACCCUGAAACUGCAUUCGAUACUGCCUUGCUCGAGGACUGGAGAGGAGAUUGGAAUUCACGGUGUAGCAGUGAAAUGCGUAGAUAUCGUGAGGAAGACCAGUGGCGAAGGCGGAUCUCUGGACAGUUCCUGACGCUGAGGCGCGAAGGCCAGGGGAGCAAACGGG
rnacentral:rRNA from 1 species